GUAAUGGCUUUGAACUUUCCAGGAGUGCAGGCACAACUGCUAAUGCUGCCGUGUCAGCAAUGGUGAGAUCUUCAAUCCAUGCAGGACAUAGAAAACCACCAACAAUGUCCCCAGAGGCAGAGGUUUAGGGCCAUGGACACCUGCCCUGCCUUGGUGCCCCUGCUAUGACCGCCCCUCGUGCAGGAGGCCACCACACGGCGCCCGGUUGAUGGCCAGGGGGACAACUAACGCCACCCUUAUCACUACCACGGAUCACCCCACAGAUCUCGCAAUUAAAGCAUGAGAAGGAUCAGCUGGGGCCAAAAGCGAGCAAGGGAGGAAAGCACAGCUAAAAGUCAUGAAUUUAGAGUCUUUUUAGAGGCUGGAAUUGCUAGCAAUGUACAGGCCGGCAGAUGAAGAGAGCUGUCACCUCACCAAGCACGACACGUCUGGUCUCUUGCGGACGGGGACAGUCCCUGGAUGAGAGGAAGCCCCGGGCGGGACACUGCCCGGCACUAGAGCCACGAGCCUCCGCGCGGCAGCUCCGCGGGAUGCACAUCACUCCGGCCGGUACCCCCGGCCGCUCCCGGCUUCCCGCCCGCGCCGCUCCGCAGCCUCCCUCCGCGGGUACCUAUCUCCGGUUAUUCACCAGUGGGAUGACAAAUCUCCCAGGCGUGUGUCUGUCCCGUCUUUCCAGACAGAGCUGCGUCCCCAUCUCGGCGGCGGACCGGCCGGCGAGCUCCAGUGUAGGACAAGAGAGGUCCAGGUCCCAGCUGAAGCACAUUCCUGUCUACUCUCCCAUUGGAAGCAGAAAGUGCUGCACCCAACUACACCACUGCUGAAUGGACAAUAAACUCUUCACACAGGUGUAGCUCACCCUACAUGGAGACCUCCAGGAGCUGUGAAUUCUUGGAGGAUCUUUGCCGUCAGUGUGAGGAGUUACUAGAGGAAAUGAUCAGGCGCAUAGCAUAAGGGAAGAAGAAAGAGAGAUAGGACAUUCUCUGAGGCUCAAUAGCUUGAAGAGCCACCAACCCCACCUGCAGUUGAGAAGCUGGCAAUAUUCACCCCUAAUAUGAAGGUCCUUCAGAGAAGACAAUGCAGUCUGUUUCUCAACACCUUGUCCUUGAGGCAUUGGGAAACCAUUCCAAACAACACUUUCAGCUGUAUAUCAGCAGGAUGUCCUAGUAGAGAAGAAGGUAUGGAUACAUUAAACCACCAGAAAAAGAAUAAUCAGCACGCCAUACUGUUUUCUGUUCCUAGAAUUGACAGUCAUGCCUGGGAAAAUGUGUUUCAGAUCUAUUCAGACCGUUGCCAGACCGUGUUGUGAAAGCAAACUCUCUUGUUAAAAGACGGCUGGGGGCGCUGUUCUUUCCACAAAGGCACACAUAAGUUCCACCACUCUUGGUGCAAAUUAAACAUCUAAGAGCCUGUUUGAAUAUGGGGCUGAGCAUAAAAUUAUUUGACAAAUGAUGUCAGUACAAACUAGUUACUGUCACAGUAGGCCCCUAUUAAGAAACAAAAAUAUCUUCAGUCCUAUACUGAAUAUUCAGAAAAAUCUGAUCAUUGCUUUUAAAAUUGUGAUGUGUGACUCUUUUACACCUUAACACUGCUCUAUUAUGAAUUGUUCUUUAUGAAAAAGAUACUAAUUGGUCAUUCACAGUCAGUGUUUGCAUAUUCUUAAUAACCUGGCUUUAAUUCACAGGGUUUAUGUAAUCACUGUUAGAUAAAAGAAACAAAUAAUUCAAGUAACAUUUAGUCUACUGACAACAUCUAAAAUCUAGUGCUUACUCAAUUUACUGGACUCUAAAUCUAUAAAAUGGCAGGUAACUUGAUUUUCAUUACCUGAUAUUACUUUCUUUCCUGAUGUAUUUUCACUUACAGUAUUCAUU